CUACGGGAGGCAGCAGUGGGGAAUCUUGCGCAAUGGGCGAAAGCCUGACGCAGCAACGCCGCGUGGGGGAUGACGGCCUUCGGGUUGUAAACCUCUUUCGACAGGGACGAAGCUUUCGGGUGACGGUACCUGUAGAAGAAGCACCGGCUAACUACGUGCCAGCAGCCGCGGUAAUACGUAGGGUGCGAGCGUUGUCCGGAUUUAUUGGGCGUAAAGAGCUCGUAGGCGGUUUGUCGCGUCGGCCGUGAAAACCUGCAGCUUAACUGUGGGCGUGCGGUCGAUACGGGCAGACUUGAGUUCGGCAGGGGAGACUGGAAUUCCUGGUGUAGCGGUGAAAUGCGCAGAUAUCAGGAGGAACACCGGUGGCGAAGGCGGGUCUCUGGGCCGAUACUGACGCUGAGGAGCGAAAGCAUGGGGAGCGAACAGGAUUAGAUACCCUGGUAGUCCAUGCCGUAAACGUUGGGCGCUAGGUGUGGGGAUGGGUUCCACCGUUUCCGUGCCGUAGCUAACGCAUUAAGCGCCCCGCCUGGGGAGUACGGCCGCAAGGCUAAAACUCAAAGGAAUUGACG
rnacentral:rRNA from 1 species